UCCUGCCUGCAGGAUCCAAACCCCGGACAAGGGCUGCAGGAUUUCUCCGCAGGAAGGCGGGAGCAGGGUGGGAGUGCCCAGGAGAAGAGAGGCUUCUCUGGGCAACCCUCGGGACGGAUUCCGGAUUCCCCUCCCCGGGGAAGCACAGAUGCAGAGCACGGAGCCGCCGACCGAGAGCUUCAGUAGCUUGGGAUGUAUUUAAGAAGCGCCCUCUGGUGGCCAGAGGGUGAGAAACGGAAGAUCAGAAGAGCAUGGCUGGUCCCACUGAGAGGAAACUGGGCAAGUGAUGUAAUGAGUCAAGAGACUGGAGUCUCGGUGUCCCACCUGGAAACUUGGUUCAUAUUUCUUCUGGGACAGAUGACACAACACUGGGCACAAAUGUGGGGCUGAGAUGUCAGUGGAGGCCAAAGCUUCAUGUUGGGAAACAGAACUAUUCACCCCACCCUGAGAUCAACCUUGGCUUCAGUCCUGCUCCUUUCCCCCACCACAGGGAACUCUCCAUCCCCAUGGCUAUUCUGGUUCACCUUCCCAUCCCCUAUACCACAUUAGUCAUCACUCAGAACCUUCUGUGGCUCCCCUUUGCCACAGC